rnacentral:rRNA from 1 species
UACGUAGGGUGCAAGCGUUGUCCGGAAUUAUUGGGCGUAAAGAGCUCGUAGGCGGUUCGUCGCGUCGGCUGUGAAAACCCGGAGCUCAACUCCGGGCCUGCAGUCGAUACGGGCGGACUCGAGUUCGGCAGGGGAGACUGGAAUUCCUGGUGUAGCGGUGAAAUGCGCAGAGUAUCAAGGAGGAACACCGGUGGCGAAGGCGGGGAUCUCCGUGGGGCCGAAGUGACUGACGCUGGACGGAGCGAAAGCGUGGGGAGGCGAACAGGA